AGUGAACGCUGGCGGUAGGCCUAACACAUGCAAGUCGAACGGCAGCACAGUAAGAGCUUGCUCUUACGGGUGGCGAGUGGCGGACGGGUGAGGAAUACAUCGGAAUCUACUUUUUCGUGGGGGAUAACGUAGGGAAACUUACGCUAAUACCGCAUACGACCUACGGGUGAAAGCAGGGGAUCUUCGGACCUUGCGCGAUUGAAUGAGCCGAUGUCGGAUUAGCUAGUUGGCGGGGUAAAGGCCCACCAAGGCGACGAUCCGUAGCUGGUCUGAGAGGAUGAUCAGCCCCACUGGAACUGAGACACGGUCCCGACUCCUACGGGAGGCCGCAGUGGGGAAUAUUGGACAAUGGGCGCAAGCCUGAUCCAGCCAUACCGCGUGGGUGAAGAAGGCCUUCGGGUUGUAAAGCCCUUUUGUUGGGAAAGAAAAGCAGCAGGUUAAUACCCCGCUGUUCUGACGGUACCCAAAGAAUAAGCACCGGCUAACUUCGUG
rnacentral:rRNA from 1 species